AAAGAAUGUGUCGUGUACAAUGCAAGGUCCUACAUAUGUGAUGGCAAGUUCUUUCAAGAAUGGUGGGGAAAUGAUAUACAGCAAAUUUAAAGGAGGUUUACCAGCAGGUCAUUUGUACUGUGGGAACUGUGGAGGUAAAAGUGAAGCAGACUUUGCCUUCAUUAUGAAUAUCAACCUUUUCCCAAGUGGCACUGAAUGAAAUUCAAGAGGAUUGCAAUUGUACAAAUUUGAUCAUGUGACUAAGGAAAGGGGACACUGUCUCUUGAAAAUCAGAUCUACAAUUUACUUGUCCAGAGUUAUUAGGGACCUGAUUACGCAGGAUGGAUGUUAAUAUCAUCCAAGAAUUUGGAGACAUGUGCAACUUUAUAAAGACUUUACAAAACAAAAAUUAA